rnacentral:rRNA from 1 species
UACGUAGGCAGCAAGCGUUGUUCGGAGUUACUGGGCGUAAAGGGUGCGUAGGCGGCUUGGUAAGUGUGGUGUGAAAUCUCCCGGCUCAACUGGGAGGGUGCGCUACAAACUGCCGGGCUAGAGUGCGGGAGAGGAGAGUGGAAUUCCUGGUGUAGCGGUGAAAUGCGCAGAUAUCGGGAAGAACACCCGUGGCUAAGGCGGCUCUCUAGUACGGUACUGACGCUGAGACGCGAAAGCGUGGGGAGCGAACAGG